AGUUCAAGAGUACGUGAAACCGUUCAGGGGUAAACCUGUGAAACCCAAAAGAUCGAAGGGGGAGAUUCAUCGUCGACGGCGUUGACUCCCGUUGGCGCGCGAUGCCCCGAAUGGUUCCGUUUGCGCGGUUCCACGGCGAGGGCACGCCGCCUUCGUGGUCGAACGUUCGGCGCCGUAGUCGUGCACUUCUCCCCUAGUAGAACGUCGCGACCCGUUGCGUGUCGGUCUACGGCCCGAGUGGGAGCCUGUUGCGUCUCGCCUCGUGCGUUCGCGACAGACCCUCGGUCGCCCGGCCGGCUGCGCGACGGUACUCUGACGGUAUCGGGCCGCAACCAAUCCAUUUUCGAAUGUGUGUGCGUCAGGCCCGCCGCAAGCUCGAUCAGUUCUCACCCGGUGGUUCAACGGACCUAGCGCCGUCCCCGGGCCUGAUCAGCUGUUGGCCGGCGGUGUCCUCGGACUGGCCAAAGCUUCGAUUACCGGUCGGCGACGCUAUUGCUUUGGGUACUCUCAGGACCCGUCUUGAAACACGGACCAAGGAGUCUAACAUGUGCGCGAGUCAUUGGGACCAAUGAAACCUAAAGGCGAAAUGAAAGUGAAGGUCGUCCUUGCGUCGACCGAGGGAGGAUGGGCCGCGCUCUGUUCGGCCCCGCACUCCCGGGGCGUCUCGUUCUCAUUGCGAGAAGAGGCGCACCCAGAGCGUACACGUUGGGACCCGAAAGAUGGUGAACUAA
rnacentral:rRNA from 1 species